rnacentral:rRNA from 1 species
UACGGAGGGUGCGAGCGUUGUUCGGAAUCACUGGGCGUAAAGGGCGCGUAGGCGGCCUGCUAAGUCGGACGUGAAAUCCCUCGGCUCAACCGGGGAACUGCGUCCGAUACUGGUGGGCUCGAAUCCGGGAGAGGGAUGUGGAAUUCCAGGUGUAGCGGUGAAAUGCGUAGAUAUCUGGAGGAACACCGGUGGCGAAGGCGGCAUCCUGGACCGGCAUUGACGCUGAGAGACGAAAGCUAGGGGAGCAAAUGGG